rnacentral:rRNA from 1 species
AUUGAACGCUGGCGGCAUGCCUUACACAUGCAUGUCGAACGGCAGCACGGGAGCAAUCCUGGUGGCGAGUGGCGAACGGGUGAGUAAUAUAUCGGAACGUGCCCAGUAGUGGGGGAUAACUGCUCGAAAGAGCAGCUAAUACCGCAUACGACCUGAGGGUGAAAGGGGGGGAUCGCAAGACCUCUCGCUAUUGGAGCGGCCGAUAUCAGAUUAGCUAGUUGGUGGGGUAAAGGCCUACCAAGGCAACGAUCUGUAGUUGGUCUGAGAGGACGACCAGCCACACUGGGACUGAGACACGGCCCAGACUCCUACGGGAGGCAGCAGUGGGGAAUGUUGGACAAUGGGCGCAAGCCUGAUCCAGCAAUGCCGCGUGCAGGAAGAAGGCCUUCGGGUUGUAAACUGCUUUUGUCAGGGAAGAAAUCCUCUAGGUUAAUACCCUUGGGGGGAUGACGGUACCUGAAGAAUAAGCACCGGCUAACUACGUGCCAGCCGCCGCCGUAAGAC